rnacentral:rRNA from 1 species
GAGUUUGAUCGUGGCUCAGGACGAACGCUGGCGGCGUGCUUAACACAUGCAAGUCGAGCGGAAAGGCCCUUUUGGGGGUACUCGAGCGGCGAACGGGUGAGUAACACGUGAGUAAUCUGCCCUUCACUUUGGGAUAACUGCCUGAAAGGGUGGCUAAUACCGGAUAUUCUCCUCCUGCUGCAUGGUGGGGGGUGGGAAGAUUUUUUGGUGGGGGAUGUGCUCGCGGCCUAUCAGCUUGUUGGUGGGGUAAUGGCCUACCAAGGCUUCGACGGGUAGCCGGCCUGAGAGGGUGACCGGCCACACUGGGACUGAGACACGGCCCAGACUCCUACGGGAGGCAGCAGUGGGGAAUAUUGGACAAUGGGCGGAAGCCUGAUCCAGCAACGCCGCGUGAGGGAUGACGGCCU